GUGCCGAGAUUGCAGCCUCUGCCCGGCCGCCACCCCGUCUGGGAAGUGAGGAGCAUCUCUGCCUGGCCGCCCAUCGUCUGGGAGGUGAGGAGCCCCUCUGCCUGGCUGCCCAGUCUGGAAAGUGAGGAGCGUCUCUGCCCGGCCGCCAUCCCAUCUAGGAAGUGAGGAGCGCCUCUUCCCGGCCGCCAUCCCAUCUAGGAAGUGAGGAGCGUCUCUGCCCCGCUGCCCCGUCUGGGAUGUGAGGAGCGCCUCUGCCCGGCCGCGACCCCGUCUGGGAGGUGAGGAGCAUCUCUGCCCGGCCGCCCCGUCUGAGAAGUGAGGAGACCCUCCGCCUGGCAACCGCCCCGUCUGAGAAGUGAGGAGCCCCUCCGCCCAGCAGCCGCCCCGUCUGAGAAGAAGAAGCCAUGGAUUUAAUAAAUAGAGAAACAAUGUCUGAAUGGAAGCUACAAAGUGAGAUACAGAUAAGUCACUCUUGGGAAGAAGGCUUGAAACUGGUGAAAUGGCAUUUCAAUAUCAACCAAAAAAGAUUUUCCAAGGCACAACCAACAUGCUUUCUUCUGAUACUUCCCAACUGUCAGAAAAUAAUGUGUAUCUACUUCCAGCUACUUUUGAUGGAAACGACAGCAAUGCUGGAUCUUCUGGUAAUUCGUCAGCUGAAAUCGGCACUGUCACAAACUCUCCUGUGUCACCUUCUGAUACUGGUUCUCAUUUGUUCUAGUAGACAAACUUUCAACUAAAUGAUUCACCCAUCCCAAGACUUUCUCACCAGUGGAGAAACACACACAUCAAGCAAACCAAGUCAGAGCAAUGAGAAUUGUACUGUAUAAUUUAAACUAUCUCCUAUUUAUCUUUUUUCCUCAAUUUCCUAAAAUUCUAUUUAUCUACAGAACUUGCGUGUAUAAUUCUUGUGUACAUCCUUAAAUUUAAUGUAAUAACAUGUUAAAGAUGUUUUCCAAAUCAGAACCAUGUUGAAGAUACAAGCGUAAAUUGUUAGGCUGCUAUUUUCUAGAAAAUGCUGUACCUUGACUUUUUAAAAUAAUCUUAUGAAACAUAAUUCUGAUAAAAUAUAAUUGUUCAAUUAACAAAGUAAAAUGAUGUUUGACAAUUAUGUACUUAAUGAUCCAUGCUAGUCUUUAAUGCUAUUUUCAGUAACUACUAGCUUCCACUUGGUAAAGAAAAGUCACAUAUCAAAGGCAAUUUUUAUGACUAAGUUAUACCAUACUGAUCCAAGGAUUGCUUAUUUUGCACAUGAAUCCUUAGAUAUUCAAUUUGUUGGGAAGCAGUAGGUAGGAGAAGAGCAAGACAAAUUAAAGUUAAUUGAAUAGAAAGAAAAUAAUAUGUAAUUGAGGCUUCACUCAAUUUGUACUCAACCUGAUUAACCCUGAUUAAUUUUGUAUUCUAAUUAAGUGUGGGAAAAUGUUGAUAAGUUGUAGUCUUUUACAUUUUUAUCACUUACGUUUUAUUCAUCAUCAUGACUACCGAUUUGAUUAAAUACAGGCUUAAUAUGUCAGGGCUUUUCUGCGAAAAUCAUGUGCUUCCAGUUGUUCCCUAAGGUCUAUAAAUGUUUGUUUAAACCCUGAUUUUCUAUUCGAAAAUCUUAAGGGUUUUUUUUUUUUAAAUAGGAAAAAUUAUGUGUUAAAAAAUUUAAAUUUAGGCUGGGCGUGGUGGCUCAUGCCUGUAAUCCCAGCACUCUGGGAGGCCAAGGCGGGUGGAUCACAAGGUCAGGAGAUCG
rnacentral:lncRNA from 1 species